rnacentral:rRNA from 1 species
AUUGAACGCUGGCGGUAUGCUUAACACAUGCAAGUCGAACGGUAACAUGAACUAGCUUGCUAGUUUGAUGACGAGUGGCGGACGGGUGAGUAACGCGUAGGAAUUUACCUUUCGGUGGGGGAUAGCCCGGUGAAUACCGGAUUAAUACCGCAUAAGCCCUACGGGGGAAACGAGGCCUCUUCUUGAAAGCUUCGACCGAUAGAUGAGCCUGCGUUAGAUUAGCUAGUUGGUAAGGUAAUGGCUUACCAAGGCGACGAUCUAUAGCUGGUCUGAGAGGAUGAUCAGCCACACUGGGACUGAGACACGGCCCAG